AGUUCUCAACCACAAUUUCAUCCGCCGCUCCACAAUUCUUUCACUCUCUAAACCCUAGAUCCUCCACCGCAUAACUGAAGCACCUCCACCGCACCUCCACCUUUCAUCCAUGGAACCUGUCUUUGCCAUCACCGUCUUCUCCCCUUUCAUCCAUGGAACCGACAGCGAUGUUGUUGAAACUUUUAGAUCUGCAGUCCCCAAACCCUAAAACGGUGAAACUUUUAGAUCUGAUCUCUAUUCGUCGCUCUUCUUCUUUUGGGUGUAACGAAGCUUCCAUAAGAAGAACCUAUGGAGAAAUCUGAUGAAAUUCUGGUGCAAGUUUAAAAGCCGCUGCCACUUAGUUUCUAUUCAAUUUUACUCUGAUUGUGCUCCAGAUCUGACUUGGAUCAAACUGUUGAUUAGUGGUUUGAGACUAAAAGGUACGUACUUUGUCAAGUCAUUAAGGUUUUGGUGAGUAAAGACCUGGAUCUGGAUUUUCUUGUCAAGAAUCGUUUAUGAAUUUUGUUUCUUUUCUUUCCUUCUUUUAUCAUUCAAAUAAUCUUUGUUGUUUGGAGGCUUGCAAUGAAUUAUGAAGUUAAGAAACAAAUGGUUGAUGGACAAAGAAAUCAAUCAAGGUCAACUGAAAAAGCUUGCCCUGAAGAGAUCUCACUCUGUAAUGAAGAGCCCACGACUAAGCCAAUGGUAGUUGAUGACAAGAAAGCUCCUGACAAGGAGACUGACAUUAAGAAUAACAAAGAAGAGAUCCCAGAGGAGAAGGGACCAAAAAGGCGUAGAAACGAAUGCCGCGGACGAAGAAAGCAACAGCAAGACAAAAACAUCAGUAGAGUGACUGGUUGCUGUCAUUGUGUUUAAUAUCAUCCGGUUCCCUUAGAGUUAUAAUUUGCAGAAUUCAGGACUAAAAUUGUAUUUUUUUAUGCAGAUGGAGUCAUUCUUGCUAUAACCUAUGUUGUCAAAGACGCAAGGCGCAGGCGAAAAUGAGUUUGGUUGAACUCAUGCGUGCCCGCACCUGCGGACACGAAUGCAGCUCCGAAAAACCCGGGCCCGCGUGAGGCAGUUUCUGCUUAUGCACUGCGCCUCAGGCCGUUUUUCCAAAAAAAAAACCGAUUUUUACGCUAUAGGUGCGCCUAGGCGCGCUUUUGACAACAUAAGCUGUAACUAAUGUACUUUAGAUCGUCCAUGCAGUUGUAACUAAUGUACUUCUGAUCAUUGUGUACUUGGUGUUUGCGAGAUUGAAUGAAGAGAUUGCACCUAGAGAAAAGGAUGGGAAUAGUUUUUCUGAGUGGGAUCAGGAUAGUUGGGUUUCAGCUUACUACGCGUCAGUGAUUCUUACAAGAGGAAAUGGAACAAAAGUCAAUGGCAGAUCAAAUUGAGAAAAUGGGAAUCAAGAUAGAAAACCAACAAAAGCAAUUUGAGGAAUUGCAAACUCAAUUUAACGCCAAAGUAGAAGAGUGCUCUGAUUUGAGCUGCAAACUUGAAUUUACAGAGACCACAUUGAACCAAACCAAUAAGGUGAUAAAUAACACCUGAUCCUCUUUUGUAUUUUUUCUCUUACGUAGACCACAUUGAACCAAACCAAUAAGGUGUUGGCUGAUACCGAGGAAACGCUGAAGAAGUGUCAGUAUGCUCUCAUGGAGCGAGAUUUCAUCAUACAAGAACAGAAAAAAAAAAUGCAUUGGCUCAUCAAGCAUGUGUUCUUCGGGCUGACUUAGAAAAGUCUCUUCAGGACAAUGCAUCAUUGUUUCCGAAAAUUGGCGACAGUGGUGACUACCGGAAGUGGAGAUGACCUCUGGUCACCGGACAAGUGAUGAUUGACGAUGGUAGCAGCUUGGUUAUCAGGAUAAGUAUGAGAUUAUGGCACUGGAUAGAGGUGAUGAACUGCCGCAGGUGAUAAUGGCGCUAACGCGAGACGGGCAACUCUACCCGAGCCUCGCUAAAGGUUGAAAAGAGGUGAACAGCUGGGUUGAAAAGAGGGAACAGUGGUCAGAAGGGUGAAAAGAGGGAACAGUGGUCAGAAGCAUGCUCUAUACAACAUCUACUUUUGUUUUGUCAACUGUAAAGCUGGGUUGAAAAGUAAAUGUCAAAAGUACAACAUCUACUGUUGAAAAGCAUGCUCUGUGCCCCCAUUUUUUUAUUUGUUUUGUGCCCCUAAAACCGAUGAGUCGGCCCUUUUUGACUCAUGGUGCUGUUUCAUUUUUGAAAGCUCUUUAAUAAUGAUUUUGUUUUCCCAUUUUCCAACAGUUACAUCUCUUGUUUUCUAAUUAGCCAUUUUUUUAGUU